rnacentral:antisense_RNA from 1 species
UAUGGGUCCCCACUGGAGAAGCUGUAGCAUCGGUAGGUUCCGCUGGCCGCUCACCAUGGCAGCCGGCUCCAUCACCGCCGGCCAGCGAGAGGGCAAGACAAGAGGGCUGACAAGAGGGACGCUACCAUCACAGAGAAGUCUGAACUUUUGCGUGGCCUGUUGCCCUGGUGAUAAACUGAUGCCUUGUUUCCUGAAAGGAGUAAAUCCAUGACUUGCCUUUGUUCAGCUCAUGGGCAUUCACCCAUACACAGAGGAAAAAGUAAAACCUACAACUCGGGCA